rnacentral:rRNA from 1 species
UACGGGGGGGGCAAGCGUUGUUCGGAAUUACUGGGCGUAAAGGGUUUGUAGGUGGCUUGCUAAGUCAGACGUGAAAUCCCUCAGCUUAACUGGGGAACUGCGUCUGAGACUGGCAAGCUUGAGUGCAGGAGAGGAACGCGGAAUUCCAGGUGUAGCGGUGAAAUGCGUAGAUAUCUGGAGGAACACCGGUGGCGAAAGCGGCGUUCUGGACUGUAACUGACACUGAUGAACGAAAGCCAGGGGAGCAAACGGG